AGAUGAACCUGUUUUGCCCCGAAGGCUAUUUCUUCCCCAAUAUAACGAACAUAACGACAGUCCGAUGCGACACGAACGGAAACUGGACGGACAUCGACCCUGCAUUUCUGAACUGUAGAAUUCUCGCCUUGGAGGACCCCAGAACACCCAACAACAGCUUCCUGAUCGGCCCUCAACCACCUUACUGGGAGAACACGACCGUGGUCUACGCGUGCCCCGAGAACAGUCUGUUCCCCUCGGGUCUAAACUACACCUGGGCCACUUUCAACGGGACCGACUGGAUCUACGCUGACCCGGACGCUGCCUGUAUCAAGUCAUGCCCUCUCCCCUUCACGCCGGCGCCAGCUGUGAAACGAAGCUUCCUGGUAUCGCCGAUAGAGGGUGCAACAGUCACGUAUUACUGUCCUGCCGGAUUCGAGGGCGGCGAAACUAACUUCACGAAUGUUUGUCUGGAUGGGAACUGGACCAUGGACUCUCUCCCCGUGU